GACGAACGCUGGCGGCGUGCUUAAUACAUGCAAGUCAGCUUGACUUUAGAUAGCAAUAUCGAAAGUAGGUGGCGCACGGGUGCGUAACGCGUAGGUAAUCUGCCCUGAGGUCUGACAUAACCCGUCGAAAGGCGGGCUAACAUCAGAUGAUAUAUAAUCACGACAUCGUGGAAAUAUCAAAAUCUUCGGAGCCUUGGGAUGAGCCUGCGUCUGAUUAGGUAGUUGGCGGAGUAAUAGCCCACCAAGCCUACGAUCAGUAGCUGGUCUGAGAGGAUGAUCAGCCACACUGGAACUGAGACACGGUCCAGACUCCUACGGGAGGCAGCAGUAAGGAAUAUUGCUCAAUGGGGGAAACCCUGAAGCAGCAACGCCGCGUGAAGGAUGAAAUACUUUUGUAUGUAAACUUCUGUAAGAUGGGAAAAUAUUACUCCUCGGGAGAAUUGAUUGUACCAUCAGAGUAAG
rnacentral:rRNA from 1 species